GCUAAAAACAUUUUUUUUUUUUUUGCAGCUACCGGUAUUUCAAAUGUUUGGGAAUGAGAGGAAAAUUGCAAUGACAAAAAUAAGUAAACUGAAAUCAUGUACCAUUCUGAGAGAACCAUCUUGACAAAGAAAGUUGGUUGGACAGGAUAAUCGCAUUAGAUUAUUGGAACUACAACUCCAGAAUUAAGAACUGUACAUCUUGGUCAAGGUGUAGUUUUUCUGUAUCAGCUGGCUAUUUUCUCCAGGAUCCUACCGUAUACGCAGCCUUGCUUUAGACUCUUCACAUCUCAGAUCAUGACUUCAGUCAAAAAGACAGCAAUUUGAUAAUCUGAGGCGCCUCGAAGCCUAAAUAUAAAUGAUCUUAUCAGGAAAGGGGAAAUGAAGAUGGCUAGGAAUGGGGAAUUGACUACAUUAAAAAUGUGAAUAGUUUACAUACUGCUUU